rnacentral:rRNA from 1 species
AUUGAACGCUGGCGGCAGGCCUAACACAUGCAAGUCGGGCGGAUGAAGGGAGCUUGCUCCUGGAUUCAGCGGCGGACGGGUGAGUAAUGCCUAGGAAUCUGCCUGGUAGUGGGGGAUAACGUCCGGAAACGGGCGCUAAUACCGCAUACGUCCUGAGGGAGAAAGUGGGGGAUCUUCGGACCUCACGCUAUCAGAUGAGCCUAGGUCGGAUUAGCUAGUUGGUGGGGUAAAGGCCUACCAAGGCGACGAUCCGUAACUGGUCUGAGAGGAUGAUCAGUCACACUGGAACUGUGACACGGUCCAGACUCCUACGGGAGGCAGCAGUGGGGAAUAUUGGACAAUGGGCGAAAGCCUGAUCCAGCCAUGCCGCGUGUGUGAAGAAGGUCUUCGGAUUGUAAAGCACUUUAAGUUGGGAGGAAGGGCAGUAAGUUAAUACCUUGCUGUUUUGACGUUACCAACAGAAUAAGCACCGGCUAACUUCGUG